rnacentral:rRNA from 2 species
GUAACACGUGGGCAACCUGCCUAUAAGACUGGGAUAACUUCGGGAAACCGGAGCUAAUACCGGAUACGUUCUUUUCUCGCAUGAGAGAAGAUGGAAAGACGGUUUACGCUGUCACUUAUAGAUGGGCCCGCGGCGCAUUAGCUAGUUGGUGAGGUAAUGGCUCACCAAGGCGACGAUGCGUAGCCGACCUGAGAGGGUGAUCGGCCACACUGGGACUGAGACACGGCCCAGACUCCUACGGGAGGCAGCAGUAGGGAAUCUUCCGCAAUGGACGAAAGUCUGACGGAGCAACGCCGCGUGAACGAAGAAGGCCUUCGGGUCGUAAAGUUCUGUUGUUAGGGAAGAACAAGUACCAGAGUAACUGCUGGUACCUUGACGGUACCUAACCAGAAAGCCACGGCUAACUACGUGCCAGCAGCCGCGGUAAUACGUAGGUGGCAAGCGUUGUCCGGAAUUAUUGGGCGUAAAGCGCGCGCAGGUGGUUCCUUAAGUCUGAUGUGAAAGCCCACGGCUCAACCGUGGAGGGUCAUUGGAAACUGGGGAACUUGAGU